rnacentral:rRNA from 1 species
AGUGAACGCUGGCGGUAGGCCUAACACAUGCAAGUCGAACGGCAGCACAGUAAGAGCUUGCUCUUACGGGUGGCGAGUGGCGGACGGGUGAGGAAUACAUCGGAAUCUACUUUUUCGUGGGGGAUAACGUAGGGAAACUUACGCUAAUACCGCAUACGACCUACGGGUGAAAGCAGUGGAUCUUCGGACCUUUCGCGUCUGAAUGAGCCGAUGUCGGAUUAGCUAGUUGGCGGGGUAAAGGCCCACCAAGGCGACGAUCCGUAGCUGGUCUGAGAGGAUGAUCAGCCACACUGGAACUGAGACACGGUCCAGACUCCUACGGGAGGCAGCAGUGGGGAAUAUUGGACAAUGGGCGCAAGCCUGAUCCAGCCAUACCGCGUGGGUGAAGAAGGCCUUCGGGUUGUAAAGCCCUUUUGUUGGGAAAGAAAAGCAGCAGGUUAAUACCCCGCUGUUCUGACGGUACCCAAAGAAUAAGCAACGGCUAACUUCGUG